rnacentral:sRNA from 1 species
GCCAGGUGCAGUGGCGCACGCCUGUAAUCCCAUUAUCUCAGGAGGCUGAAGCAGGAGGAUCAUGAGUUCAAAGCCAGUCUCAGCAAAAGUGAGGCAGGCACUAAGCAACUCAGUGAGACCCUGUCUCUA